rnacentral:other from 1 species
AGAAUUCUGAAGUCCUCGUUACGACUGGUUAUUUAUCCUUCUGUUUCAUACACGGGAUGCCGAUGUCGCGAGGUGGCUGCCGGGCCGGCUCGACCGGAAGGCAAAAAUCGCGCGCAGGCGACCCACUUAUCCGAGAUAAGGUAUGGAUUGCCGUCAGACGGUUCUUCGGAAUUUUC